UGGGGAAUAUUGCGCAAUGGGCGAAAGCCUGACGCAGCGACGCCGCGUGAGGGAUGAAGGUUUUCGGAUCGUAAACCUCUGUCAGAAGGGAAGAAACCGCACUGUGCUAAUCAGCAGUGCCUUGACGGUACCUUCAAAGGAAGCACCGGCUAACUCCGUGCCAGCCGCCGCGGUAAUACGGAGGGUGCAAGCGUUAAUCGGAAUUACUGGGCGUAAAGCGCACGUAGGCUGCUUUGUAAGUCAGGGGUGAAAUCCCACGGCUCAACCGUGGAACUGCCUUUGAUACUGCUUAGCUUGAAUCCGGGAGAGGGUGGCGGAAUUCCAGGUGUAGGAGUGAAAUCCGUAGAUAUCUGGAGGAACAUCAGUGGCGAAGGCGGCCACCUGGACCGGUAUUGACGCUGAGGUGCGAAAGCGUGGGGAGGAAACAGG
rnacentral:rRNA from 1 species